rnacentral:rRNA from 1 species
UACGAGAGGGGCGAGCGUUGUUCGGAAUUAUUGGGCGUAAAGGGUGCGUAGGCGGUUUGGUAAGUCUUAUGUGAAAUCUAUGGGCUCAACUCAUAGUCUGCAUGAGAAACUGCCGGGCUUGAGUAUGGGAGAGGUGAGUGGAAUUCCUGGUGUAGCGGUGAAAUGCGUAGAUAUCAGGAGGAACACCUGUGGCGAAAGCGGCUCACUGGACCAUAACUGACGCUGAUGCACGAAAGCUAGGGGAGCAAACAGG